rnacentral:misc_RNA from 1 species
UCGCCUCGCCUCGCCUAGCGCCUCGCUUGGCGCCUUUUAUCGCUUUUAAUAACACUGCUCCUGAGUAAUUGCAAGAUAUAAAAACAAGACCUUACCAGCCCUGAGCUAGUCAAGAAGAGGUGGGUUACUGAGGAAAUCUUUUAACUCAUCAAAAGCUACCUGGCAGUUGUCACCCUAUUUGAAACGCUUCCUUACUUUCAAAGCUUGAUAAAAAAGCAAACAUUUUCGAGCUGAACAAGACAUAAACUGACCUAACGCUGUGACCUGACCAUUCAACUCAUGAAUUUCCUUAAUAUUCUAGGGUGGUUUCAUAUCCAUGAUUGAUUUGAUCUUCUCUAGGUUAGCUUCAAUUCCUCUUUCUGACAUCAUAUAGCCCAAAAACUUUCUUGCCUUCACUUCGAAUGUACACUUUUCUGGAUUUAACUUUAUGCUCACUUUAUCCAAUAUGUCAAAAGCUUCAAUGAUGUCCCUUGCAUGAUCCUCCAUCCUCUUACUCUUGAUAAUCAUAUCAUUUACAUAUACCUUAAUUGUCUUUCUGGUCAAACCCUUAAACAUUUUAUUUACCAAACGCUAAUAAGUAGCUCCUGCAUUUUUUAAACCGAAUGUCAUAACCUUAUGCAAUACAUCCCUGAAUCUGUAAUGAAAUUAGUCUUUUUCUAAUCAUCUGGGUCCAUCUUAAUUUGGUGAUAUCUUGAAAUAGCGUCAACUAAGGAGCACACAGCAUGUCCUGCAGUUGAAUCUACCAAUUGUUCUAUUGUGGACAAAGGAUAAUGAUCAUUGGGACAAGCUCGAUUGAGGUUGGUAAAAUCAACACAUUCGCCAUUUGCCAUGGAUUUUUUAACCAAUACCACAUUAGCUACCCAAGUAGGAUACUUAACUUCCCUGAUCAAUCCGGCCUUCAACAAUUUAUUUAUUUCAUCUUUGACCACUUGCUGCCUAUUUGGGAUGAUCUGGCGUUUCUUUUGCUGAACCGGUUUGAAGGUCAGAUCUACAUUCAAACUAUGCAUUAUAACCGAGUGAUCAACUCCCUUUACUUGCUUUUGACUCCAAGAAAAAGUAUUAACAUGC